rnacentral:rRNA from 1 species
CUUACUUGGAUAACCGUGGUAAUUCUAGAGCUAAUACAUGCUAAAAACCUCGACUUCGGAAGGGGUGUAUUUAUUAGAUAAAAAACCAAUGCCCUCCGGGGCUCCCUGGUGAUUCAUAAUAACUAAACGAAUCGCAUGGCCUUGCGCCGGCGAUGGUUCAUUCAAAUUUCUGCCCUAUCAACUUUCGAUGGUAGGAUAGUGGCCUACCAUGGUGGCAACGGGUAACGGGGAAUUAGGGUUCUAUUCCGGAGAGGGAGCCUGAGAAACGGCUACCACAUCCAAGGAAGGCAGCAGGCGCGCAAAUUACCCAAUCCCGACACGGGGAGGUAGUGACAAUAAAUACUGAUGUGGAGCUCUUUAGGGUUUCACAAUUGGAAUGAGAAAAAUCUAAACCACUUAAACGAGGAACAAUUGGAGGGCAAGUCUGGUGCCAGCAGCCGCGGUAAUUCCAGCUCCAAUAGCGUAUAUUAAAGUUGUUGCAGUUAAAAAGCUCGUAGUUGAACCUUGGGCCUGGCCGGCUGGUCCGCCUCACCGCGUGCACUGGUUCGGCCGGGCCUUUCCUCCUGGGGAACCGCAUGCCCUUCACUGGGUGUGCCGGGGAAUCAGGACUUUUACUUUGAAAAAAUUAGAGUGUUCAAAGCAGGCAUUUGCUCGAAUACAUUAGCAUGGAAUAAUAGAAUAGGACGUUGUGGUUCUAUUUUGUUGGUUUCUAGGACCGCCGUAAUGAUUAAUAGGGACG